rfam:Physcomitrella patens subsp. patens PHYPAscaffold_210 genomic scaffold, whole genome shotgun sequence.
GAGAUCUUUAUGACGGGAAACUGUCACGUAUGGUUCGGAGGGCGGGGAAAUCUCCGACUCCUAC